GUCUAGCUGUGAGUAUGAGGGCACGUUACUUCAUUUCUCUGCUUUCUCACAUGUAAGUACUUCCCCCUCUGUAAGAUGAGGGGGUGGACUAAGUGAUUUCCAAGUAUGCUUCUCACCCACACAGUCUGUGAAGCUAGCACCAGCAGUGUGAAAAGCAAAAUGUGCCCCUCUAACAGCACUUUCCCAGGCAAUACUCAGUGUGGAAUUGACUGUACCUCCCGGUCCUGAUUUGUUAAAGUUGAGUCUUUGGGAUUUGGCACGUACAUCCCCAUGAGAAUUGCCUUUUAAGUGGUGGUUGGCUCUCCAGGGCCAGCUCAUAAAACAUUGCUUACUUCACGGCAAAGCAGAAACACUGUUCAUUUGCAUUGGAAAUGGCAGGAAACAAUACUGUCACAAUACUAAUAAUUAAACACAACAGAAAAGCAAUCUGAUUGAAUAGGCACUCAUUUUUUUUUUUUUUAAAUCUGGAAUCAUGGUGCUUGAGAGAAGUAGGUUAAUGCAGAAAGGAGUGCCUAUGGAAACGUGUGUACGGAGGGGCAGUGACUUUCCUUUUUAGCUUUCAGAGGGUUUCCACUUAGGCUAGUGGCAUAAAUUCUCAAAAUUUCUGUUUGGGUUGGAAAUGAAAGGGGUUUCUCUCUGUCCACUUGGUCUUUUCUUUAAGCUAGUGUUGGCCUAAUUCUUCCUCAAAGUUGAUGGCUACAGUAAUAAAUUGGACCGGACAUGUUCAAGUAAGUUUAUGAUUUUGUUUGGGAGGCAUUCACAGCGGUCCUCAACUGUGGGUGGGCUGUAGGUUGCAUGUUCUUGGACUUACUAAUGGAAAGAGGACAUGGAAGGAAGGGAAGUAAGAGGCAAAAAGGCCAGCCUGGUUCACAAAGUGAGUCCAGGACAGCCCAGGCUACGUAGAGAAACCUUAUCUUGGAAAAACAAAACAAAACAAAACAAAACAAAACAAAACAAAACAAAACAAAACACCAAAUUGAUCCUAGAUGUUGCAAACUAUUGUUCCUGCAAUGUUUUGUUGUGCCGUGUGCAUAGCAUCUCAAAGAUCUUAAAGAACAAAACAAAACAACCAAAAAUCCCACAAAGAGCCAGCUAAAAACAAAACAACUCUCCCCACCCCCAACAAAACAAAACCAACCUAACCAACCUAAGGUUUCAAUAUGAUGAUACAGCUGAAUGUUGACACUGGGCUGGUAGUGAGGGUCUAGGAGUUGGACAGAUUCCCUGGUUGGCAAACAGCUAGGGAGAGGGGUCAUGACUUUCAAGCUGGCUGACUUCUUCCCAUGCUUUGGACCUGAGACAAAAGCCUGGGAGCUUAAAACAGUGUCCUCCUGGCCUUUUACAGUAGGGAGCCUGCUGAUGGACAGGUUCAGCAGUUCACAGCUGCUCCAUUAGGACACGUUUAUCAAACAGUUGUAGGCUAGUCAGCUCUCCUAUCUUUCUUCAACCAACCCUAAACUGGGAGAUGAAGACCCUUCAGAGACUUUAAAAACUCCCACCCCUCACGAAGAAGCCGGAGCCCGGUGCAGUGGAGCAUGCCUGCAGUCCCAGCAAGAUACAAGGAGUGCCUGUAUGCAUGUAUGUACCUGGUGCUUAUGGAGGCCGGAAGAGGGUGUUGGGGCCCCUGAAACUGGAGUUACAGAUGAAUGUGAGCUGCAUGUGGGUGCUGACAACCCAAUCAGGGUUCGCUGCAAGAGCAGCAAGUGCUUUUAAUUGAUGGAGUGAUGCUGUUGCACCUACCCCGCUCCUCUGAGUCAUUCUCUUUACCAGAGACUUCCAAAGUGGGACCCAGGCAACCUUCAGCUGUUGGAAGCCCCUGUCUUGUUCCCAGUUGGUCUUGAAGGUUGCCUUUGAUUCCCUUUCUUUUAAUUUAUUCUUUGAGAAUUUCAUAAACAUAUUCAACGGAAUAUGAUUGCAUCUAUUCCCCAUUUCUUGAACUCCUGCUAAAAACCCACAGCACAGCCCUCUACCAAAGUCAUGUCCUUAUUAAUAACCCACUAAGUCCAAUUAGGGCUGUUUAUUUGUGCAUUGGAUGUGGGCCCAUUCAUGGAUGCAUGGGCAACCCACACACCAAAGAAGAAUGAUUCUCCCUCUCCCAAAAGUCAUCAGUUGCCAGUGGUUCCCUGUUAGUGGUGGGGUCUUAAGAGCUCCUUCUCCAUUCAAGCUAGAAUGUUGGCUGGCUUGAUCUUGUCUGGGUCUUGUGCAGGUAACCACAGCUGCUCCCGAGUGCAUGAAAUCCCAUGACUGGUGAGGUCACGGACCCUAGGGAUGAACUUACUUUUGUUAUUUUGCUAUAUUGUCAUGUUGUCAAUAUUUCCUUCUAAAUAUUUGUGUUUAUACCCAUAGACCUGGGCUGCUUUCAGUUUUGGUCAGAGAAGCUUCUUUUUGUGUUGGGCAGCAGUCAAUGCAUAAACUCAUAACUGGUCAAAACUUUGAGAAUAAAUGGCUGUGAGUGCUCAGCUUUCA